GCAAGUCGAACGAACGACCUCGGGCUUGCCCGGGGAAGUUAGUGGCGAACGGCUGAGUAACGCGUGGGUGACCUGCCCAGAAGUGGGGAAUAACUGCCCGAAAGGGUGGCUGAUCCCGCAUAUGGUCAUUAGUUCAUUCUUAUGACCAAAGCCUUCGGGCGCUUUUGGAGGGGCCUGCGUUCGAUUAGCUAGUUGGUGAGGUAACGGCUCACCAAGGCGACGAUAGAUAGGUGGUCUGAGAGGAUGAUC
rnacentral:rRNA from 1 species